UACGGAGGGAGCAAGCGUUACUCGGAAUUAUUGGGCGUAAAGGGCGCGUAGGCGAUCUGACAAGUCUGGUGUGAAAGCCCACAUGUUAACUGUGGAAGUGCAUUAGAAACUGUUGGAUUUGAGUUCAGGAGAGGAAGGCAGAAUUCCCGGUGUAGCGGUGAAAUGCGUUGAUAUCUACAGGAACUCCGGUGGCGAAAGCGGCGUGCUGGACCUUUUCUGACGCUGAGGCGCGAAAGCUAGGGGAGCAAACGGG
rnacentral:rRNA from 1 species